UUCCACGUAGCCUACUGACCUUG
rnacentral:piRNA from 1 species